rnacentral:rRNA from 1 species
CAAUACUUGAGCUAGAGUGUCGUACGGGUGCGUAACACGUAUGCAACCUACCUUUUACAGGAGUAUAGCUCCCCGAAAGGGGAAUUAACCCUCCAUAAUAUCAUUGGAUGGCAUCAUUUGAUGAUUAAAACUGAGGUGGUAAAAGAUGGGCAUGCGUCUGAUUAGUUAGUUGGCAGUGUAACGGACUACCAAGACGAUGAUCAGUAGGGGACCUGAGAGGGUGAUCCCCCACACUGGCACUGAGAUACGGGCCAGACUCCUACGGGAGGCAGCAGUAGGGAAUAUUGGACAAUGGGUGAGAGCCUGAUCCAGCCAUGCCGCGUGCAGGAAGAAGGCGUUAUGCGUUGUAAACUGCUUUUGCCAGGGGAUAAAACGGUUCUGCGGAACUAAUUGAAGGUACCUGGUGAAUAAGCCACGGCUAACUACGUGCCAGCAGCCGCGGUAAUACGUAGGUGGCAAGCGUUGUCCGGAUUUAUUGGGUUUAAAGGGUGCGUAGGCGGCCCUGUAAGUCAGUGCUGAAAUAUCCCGGCUUAACCGGGAGGGUGGCAUUGAUACUGCAGGGCUUGAGUACAGAUGAGGUAGGCGGAAUUGACGGUGUAGCGGUGAAAUGCAUAGAUAUCGUCAAGAACACCGAUAGCGAAGGCAGCUUACCAAGCUGUAACUGACGCUGAGGCACGAAAGUGCGGGGAUCAAACAGGAUUAGAUACCCUGGUAGUCCACACUGUAAACGUUGAUGACUCGAUGUUGGCGAUAUACAGCCAGCGUCCAAGAGCAAUCGUUAAGUCAUCCAC